GUGAGGAAUAUUGGUCAAUGGGCGGGAGCCUGAACCAGCCAAGUCGCGUGAAGGAAGAAGGAUCUAUGGUUCGUAAACUUCUUUUGCAGGGGAAUAAAGUGCAGGACGUGUCCUGUUUUGUAUGUACCCUGAGAAUAAGGAUCGGCUAACUCCGUGCCAGCAGCCGCGGUAAUACGGAGGAUCCGAGCGUUAUCCGGAUUUAUUGGGUUUAAAGGGUGCGCAGGCGGGUUGAUAAGUCAGCGGUGAAAGUUUGCAGCUUAACUGUAAAAUUGCCGUUGAAACUGUCGAUCUUGAGUGCAAAUGAGGUAAGCGGAAUGUGUUGUGUAGCGGUGAAAUGCUUAGAUAUAACACAGAACACCGAUUGCGAAGGCAGCUUACUGGGAUGCAACUGACGCUCAUGCACGAAAGCGUGGGGAUCAAACAGGAUUAGAUACCCUUGUAGUCC
rnacentral:rRNA from 1 species